ACGGGGGGGGCAAGCGUUGUUCGGAAUUACUGGGCGUAAAGGGCGCGUAGGCGGCCAUCUAAGUCAGACGUGAAAUCCCAAGGCUUAACCUUGGAACUGCGUCGGAUACUGGUUGGCUUGAAUUCGGGAGAGGGAUGCAGAAUUCCAGGUGUAGCGGUGAAAUGCGUAGAUAUCUGGAGGAAUACCGGUGGCGAAGGCGGCAUCCUGGACCGACAUUGACGCUGAGGAGCGAAAGCUAGGGGAGCAAACGGGA
rnacentral:rRNA from 1 species